AUGGGUUUGCUGGCAUGCAUUAAAAACUUCUUCUUUUUUUUGCCCCACCAAGAUUUACAUGUUAAAAUAGCAACUGGAUAGGUCUAUAUUUUCUGAGGAAAAAUAAUGAACUAUUCUUUUUGAAAGCCCUCAAAAGAGAUAAAAUAACCUAAUGUUAAUGUCUUUAGGCUUAUGCUGUAAACAUGACUCUGUAGGCCGAGUAGAUACAUAGCCUAAAUGAAGCAUGGUCGUCAUGAAAUACCUUUAUUCCCUCUGCAUGAAAUCUGAUUUUAUUUGGAUGAUAAUGGUUGUGGUCCAAGAUCACCUUUUAGGAAGAGUUCCUUCCACACGAGGGAGCCCCCGAGUAGUGGUUAUUCCUCCAGCCAGCUGUGCACUGAACCAGCCCCAGCCCACAACCACGGCAGCACGCUGGCUUGGCUGACUCAGAGACAGGAAGGGUUGGGCACAAUGGGACAGUGCAGCCCAGAUAAUAACGCCAGAAUGAGCCUCCCCAAAAGGGUCUCCCUCUGGACCGUGGUGGAUGUGUUUGACUGGGUCAAGGAGCAGUACCCCAACCAAAAGAGUGUCCUCCAAGUGGCCAUCUUCAAGCAUGACAUAUCCGGCCGAGCUCUGCUGAGGAUGGGUGAACACCAAUUGGAGAGGAUGGGGGUGGAGGUGGAGCAUCUUCAGGAGAUCCUACUGGACAUCCUUCUCCUCAGGGUCCAGGAGGAACUUGAGAACCUUAACGACAUCUUCUCUGAGUGUUUCUCUUCAUGA
rnacentral:lncRNA from 13 species